GGUGAGCCUGCGGAAGGAUCAUUACCGAUGUGAAAAAUCCAAGGUUAAACAUCAUUAACCAGUGUGAACUGUGAAACAACUCUUUAGGGGUCGGCACAGGCGUGUGUCGUUAAAUGGCGGAUAGGUUCCUUCCGCCAGCCCCGCCAUUGUGUUUAUUAUAUCACUUUGAACGUUUAAGACUGAGAACUAUGUAUCAUGCAUUAAAUGUAUGAGAAAGAAGGAAAGAAAAAUGAGAGACAACUUUUGACGGUGGAUCUCUUGGCUCACGUAUCGAUGAAGAACGCAGCCAGCUGCGAUAUGUAGUGUGAAUUGCAGAAUUCAGUGAAUCAUUGAAUCUUUGAACGCAAAUGGCGCUCUUGGGUUCUCCCAGGAGCAUGUCUGUCUGAGUGUCGGAUUUUAUCGAACGCACUCGUGUGUGCGGUAUUGAGGUGUCACGGCGUGUUAGCAAGCAAGCAUUAAAUCGCCGUGUCCCUUGAAGGACAGCAGCAUUGGACUCGCAUUCUCUAUUGAAACUUGAGUGCGAAGGCUAAAGAUAAUAUUUUCCUUCGCCCAAACAUGCAAUAGCAGAAACAAAAUCCAAUCAAAGCGGUGACAGACAAUAAACAUCGAAUCUUGACCUCAGAUCAGGCAAGGCUACCCGCUGA
rnacentral:sRNA from 1 species